AUGCCUGUACCAUAACCGACACAGGUGGGUAGGUAGAGUAUACUAAGGGGCGCGAGAUAACUCUCUCUAAGGAACUCGGCAAAAUGACUCCGUAACUUCGGGAGAAGGAGUGCCUUAUUUAUAAGGUUGCAAUAACAAGAUCCAAGCAACUGUUUAUCAAAAACACAGGUCUCCGCUAAGUCGUAAGACGAUGUAUGGGGGCUGACGCCUGCCUAGUGCCAGAAGGUUAAAGAAGUUGGUUAGUGUAUGCGAAGCUGAUGACUGAAGCCCUGGUGAACGGCGGCCGUAACUAUAACGGUCCUAAGGUAGCGAAAUUCCUUGUCGGGUAAGUUCCGACCCGCACGAAAGGCGUAAUGAUUUGGAUACUGUCUCGGAGAGAGGCUCGGUGAAAUAGACUUGUCUGUGAAGAUGCGGACUACCUGCACCAGGACAGAAAGACCCUAUGAAGCUUUACUGUAACUUGAAAUUGGAAUUGGACUUUGCUUGCGCAGUAUAGGUGGGAAGCGUUGAAGAUAUUCUUGCGGGAGUAUUGGAGCUAUCGGUGAGAUACCACUCUUGUAAUGUUAGAUUUCUAACUUUGAACCAUAAUCUGGUCAAAGAACAGUUUCAGGUGGGCAGUUUGACUGGGGCGGUCGCCUCCCAAAUGGUAACGGAGGCGUACAAAGGUUUCCUCUGAACGGAUAGAAAUCGUAUCUAGAGUGUAAAGGCAUAAGGAAGCUUGACUGUGAGACCUACAAGUCGAGCAGGGACGAAAGUCGGUCUUAGUGAUCUGACGGUACUGAGUGGAAAGGCCGUCACUCAACGGAUAAAAGUUACUCUAGGAUAACAGGCUGAUCUCCCCCAAGAGUUCACAUCGACGGGGAGGUUUGGCACCUCGAUGUCGGCUCAUCGCAUCCUGGGGCGGUAGUACGUCCCAAGGGUUGGGCUGUUCGCCCAUGAAAGCGGUACGCGAGCUGGGUUCAGAACGUCGUGAGACAGUUCGGUCCAUAUCCGGUGUAGGCGUUAGAAUAUUGAGAGGAGCCUUCUUUAGUACGAGAGGACCGAGAAGGACACACCGCUGGUGUACCAGUUAUCGUGCCAACGGUAAACGCUGGGUAGCUAUGUGUGGAGUGGAUAACCGCUGAAAGCAUCUAAGUGGGAAGCCCACCUCAAGAUGAGUAUUCUCAUCACUAUAAGUGAGUAAGGUCACGGUAAGACUAACCGUUUGAUAGGCAUUAAGUGUAAAUGUAGUAAUGCAUGUGCUGAGAUGUCCUAACAGACCGAGGACUUGAAUC
rnacentral:rRNA from 1 species